UACGUAGGGUGCAAGCGUUAAUCGGAAUUACUGGGCGUAAAGCGUGCGCAGGCGGUUCCGUAAGAUAGAUGUGAAAUCCCCGGGCUUAACCUGGGAAUUGCAUUUAUGACUGCGGGACUGGAGUUUAUCAGAGGGGGGUGGAAUUCCAAGUGUAGCAGUGAAAUGCGUAGAUAUUUGGAGAACACCAAUGGCGAAGGCAGCCCCCUGGGAUACGACUGACGCUCAUGCACGAAAGCGUGGGGAGCAAACAGG
rnacentral:rRNA from 1 species